rnacentral:rRNA from 1 species
UGGGGAAUUUUGGACAAUGGGGGAAACCCUGAUCCAGCCAUCCCGCGUGUGCGAUGAAGGCCUUCGGGUUGUAAAGCACUUUUGGCAGGAAAGAAACGUCAUGGGUUAAUACCCCGUGAAACUGACGGUACCUGCAGAAUAAGCACCGGCUAACUACGUGCCAGCAGCCGCGGUAAUACGUAGGGUGCAAGCGUUAAUCGGAAUUACUGGGCGUAAAGCGUGCGCAGGCGGUUCGGAAAGAAAGAUGUGAAAUCCCAGAGCUCAACUUUGGAACUGCAUUUUUAACUACCGGGCUAGAGUGUGUCAGAGGGAGGUGGAAUUCCGCGUGUAGCAGGGAAAUGCGUAGAUAUGCGGAGGAACACCGAUGGCGAAGGCAGCCUCCUGGGAUAACACUGACGCUCAUGCACGAAAGCGUGGGGAGCAAACAGG